UUCUUAUCAUGAGAGGUGGAGGGACUGGCCCGAAGAAACCUCAGCAACCGGUUAUGCAUGCUGUUCAAUCAGCUUGCACCAAGGUGCUAAAUCCAGCAAGCGUUCUUUUGCUUGAAAGAUAAGAG
rnacentral:ncRNA from 1 species